CAUCACACGCAUAUGGCUGUUGGGGGGACGGGGGAGCCGGGUGUGCAGGGGAGGGAAGUGAAUCAAGUGUAAUUGUUAGUGUUGGUGUGUUGUGGUGACAAGUGAGUAUGUAUUUGUUUUCUGAAUGAGUCUAUUGUACCACAGUCUAAAAUCUGUUGAGGGAGGCUGUUCCAGUCACGUAUGGUGCGUGGAAAGUAUGAGUGCUUGUAUGCAUCAGUGUUAGUGUGAUAUGUUUGGUAUUUAUGGAUGUGUGUGUUACGAGUACGUUGACUGUUUGCGUUGUGUAGGUAUGUUUGUGGGUCAAUGUCAAUGUGAGUGUUUGUGAUCUUGUACAUAAGUGUAAGUCUGUGUGCUUGUCUGUGUAUGUGAAGAGGGUCCAUGCUUAUCGGUUGUUUGAUAAGUGUUGUGAUGCCAGGCGUUCAAGUGUAAUUGUUUGUAAUGAACCUAUAGCCGCCUUGGUGUUGAUUUGUUCUAACCUAUCAAUGUUUCUGUGUGUGUAAGGAUCCCACACCGUGGAGCAGUAUUCCAGUGUUGGUCUCACAAGUGUGUCAUAAGCUAUGUGUUUAAUGUCAGGUGUGCAGUUAUGUAAAUUCCUCCUCAGGAACCCCAGCGUUCUGUUGGCAAAGAUGUAUGCCUUUGGAUCCGGGGGCGGCCUGAUUGAAACAUACAAGAUUGUAACACAGAAAUACGAUCAAGAAUGUACAAGAGGGAUUUUUUUGGAUGAGGGAGGAUAAUAUAACCAGAUGAAACACAAGAUAUUCCAGACAAGAUCAAGUCUCAACACCAGGGAGUACGCUUUUCCAACAGGGACGACACCAGCUGGAAUAAUUUGCCGGGGUGGUGGUAAAUGCCGAAACUGUUAAAAUUUGAAUCGUCUCGACAAAGUGUGGGAGGGUCAGGACCUAAAAUAUAACCACAGAACACACACCACCACCACACGCAGCCAACACUCCGAAAACUUGGAGCGCCUCAGCUAUAUUAAGGCCUCUUCCAGAACAUCAUGUACGUGUCACUUAUGUGAGUAUCUGUGAGAGGUUUGCAGGUUAGUAGAAUAGAACAGAUUCGUGCUGUAGGUAUGAUUAACAGUAUAAGCAACACACUAUAGCAUUAUCUUACCCCCCAUGGUCCUGGACAUAAGAACAUAAGAAUUAAGUAGAAUAGAACAGAUUCGUGCUGUAGGUAUGAUUAACAGUAUAAGCAACACACUAUAGCAUUAUCUUACCCCCCAUGGUCCUGCACAUAAGAACAUAAGAAGUAGAAUAGAACAGAUUCGUGCCGUAGCAACACACAAUAGCAUUAUCUAAUUUAUCUUACCCCCCAUGGUCCAGGACACACCAACUCCACGUCUCCACCCACGGCAGUUCACCAUUGCGAGCUUUUAUUAGCAAGACGGUAACAGUGGGACCAACUCAACUCUACCCCGUUAUCAAGGAAGACCACAAAUCACCACUACAGAUCACCGCUACUGUUCACUACGCAAUGCACGCCGCGCCCUAGACAGCAAAUGAUCACCUGAAGCCUCACACGAGAAGAGAAACUUUUGAGGUGAGUGGAAUACGUUAAUAUCUUUGUCAAGGUGAAAUUGUGCAACCCUUCAAAUGUUUCAGUAUACCUAUUUACUAAUCCCUGGCGGCGGAUAUUGUAUGUAUGCUCGAGACAACCUUAUAUAGCAGCACCAACCCUGUGUGUGUGUGUGUGCUGAGGACCUUCUCAACAUACAGAAUAUUAUUACAGAAAUUUCAGAAGCAAGAAAAUCACGUGAUAUGUGUGUGUGUGUGUGUGUGUGUGUAACAACAGGCCGGCCCUGACACCUAACAAUCAUUUCCACAGUUUCGCAGAUGGUAGUAAUUAACACCAAGAGAAAGAAAGACAACGCAAGAGAGAGAGAGAGAGAGAGAGAGAGAGAGAGAGAGAGAGAGAGAGAGAGAGAGAGAGAGAGAGAGAGAGAGAGAGAGAGAGAGA